AACACCGGCCCCCCACCCCCACUAUUGUCAUCAGCAUGGGCUCCUCCCAGAUUCUGGCAUGGGGCUGGCAGCUGUUCCCCACAAUGCGUAAGGUUUCAUAUUUCUCACUACGUUCAUGGGUAUUUAGUGGAAAACUAAGAAUGGCUCUAUCAGGGUUUCUAGUUACAUGUCAUCUUAUAUAGAAGUCCACAGGUUUUUAGUGCUUUUUUUUUUUUUUAAAGCUCAGACUCACUCAUUCAUGCACAUUUAUUUAUUCAAAAAAAGUAGUGUGUUCACGGCUUGGCUUCCUAGUGGAUGUCAGGAUAAAUCAGCUAAUAAUACAGGAGAGUUCUGCAAAGAUGGAGGAAUAGGGAAAAGGCCCAGGCCCCCGCCUCUUCCUUCCUCCGCUCUGCAAACCUGACUUCUCCAUCUUGAAGACCUUGUUCUUGUGCUCCCAAAUUAGCAGUCUGUGAAAUCAGGCACAUUUAUUGAGAACUUUCUUUUGCUCCAGGCAAAAGUAAGGGGAAAGGAAGUAGCCUAGGGGAGAGGAAGAUAAAAUCGUUAGGAUUCCUGCCCUCAUGGUACACAACUUCCACUUCCCUGCUGUAGAGCACGGUGCCUGUUUUCAUCAUGGUUUGUGAUGAUUAUUUGAAUAAUCACCUCACUAGACUCCUGUCAGACUGGCAGCCCCGUGAGUGCAGGAACAGUGUCUGUAUCCUUGUUUGUUAGCACAGCUGGGACUGGGUAGGGCCGCCUGAAGGACAGGCCAUCUGAGCUGGGCUCUGAAGGGUGGAUAGGAGUUCUGUGUAGAUAAGGAGGGUGGGAGCAAGAGAGAGGGGCGAAGUCUCUCUCUCUGGGGUCUCCUCAGCCCAAACCUGACCCUCCUUCUUGGCCUAGUUCUCACUGUGGUUUCUGCUGCGACAGGGAGAAAGUUCCCCUCUGGAUCUCCUUAGAGGCCGAACAGCCCCGUGUCUGGGCAGUGCUCAGAGAAGGAUGAGGUCUGCAGGAAUUGACGGCCAGGUUGCCUAGGCCUCAGAGCUCAGCUGGGGAGAAUGGACAGAGGCCCAUGUUUGCCUUCUCUGGGCUCCUUUUCUUUAUCUUUUCAAAGCAGAUAUAAGUGGUGCCCGUCCCGCCGUGGCAGCCACGGGUUGUCAUUACUUUCCAACAGGCACGUUCAUGGCUGGGUCUCCUGGAUGGGACCCAAAAGCCAUUUGCCCGGGAGGCAGAAUCUGAGUCAGGUCCAGCUGGGUCUUCCCAUCUUUUAUUUGCCCAAUCCUAUUAAUAAUUAACGAUACAGUAAUGAGAAUUGCUUUUAAUAGAAUCCGCUGCCAUCAUGGCAUUCUGUUCCCCGCCAAGGGUUUCCCCCAAAAGGAUUCACGGUCACAUGGCUGUGCCUCCUGCCACCUCACUGGAAGGUCCCCUGCCGUCGUCCUUCCCUCCUCUCUUCUGGGCCUGAGCCCCCUCCCCGCUGACCUGGAAGCCCCACUUUCUCCUCUACCAUUUCCGGUCCCCUCCCUGAAGCCCCCCCCACCAGCCCCUCCAGGUUCCCGCUGUGGCGUGAGGCGGCCCCAUCCACCCAGCCAAGCCUCGUCUGUCACCAGGGCAAACUGGUCCCACUGGGCAGGGACACGGACGCCCCCGGAAGCAGCUGUGUGCCCAGCCUGGGGCAGGCGUGAGACCCACCCUGUGCAUACAGAGGCUGACACUGGACCCAAACUCACUUCCAGCAAAGACGAGGACACUGAGGCCCAGAGAGAAUGACAUGAGCUGGAGCCUGAAACUUGCAAGGUGCAGGGCCUGCCUUCCCAGUACACACCAGUGAAGCCCAGCUCCUUGAGUGGAGUCCUCACACACAGCUGGUGAGGGGGCCUUCAUCACCCCACGUGAGUAGCUGGAAACUGAGGCUCAGCCUGGGUGGAGACUGGGGCAAGGUCACACAGUCAGGCUGCAAGGCCCCUUCCCCUGCCCCAUGCCACCCAUCGGCCUCCCUGCCGACCCCCACAGAGGGGAGUGCCAGGAGGUCCACGGGAGGAAGCCCCUUUCUCAGGGCCAGAAGGGAAGAAGAAGAGACAGGGGCGGGUGAUCCAAGGUUCUGAUCACCUGAGCUGCUGAGACCUGGCUCAGCUUGCCCAGGGAGGUGGCCCUGGCCAGCAGACCCGGGCAGCUCGCCACACACCCAGCUGCCCCAGGAUGCCCCAGGAGAGUAGGAGUAGUCAGAGACAGAGCCAGCUUCAUCUCAUCGCAUCCAUGCAUGGUACUGUGGAAGCCAGACCUGGAGGUUCUAGAGCAAUGUUCUGGGAGCUCAAAGGAGCCUCAGUCCCCCAGCCUCCCAGGCCAGGUACCCCCGCCCCAAGAUGGGAUCCCCCUGGCAGGCAAACCAAAAUCAUUUGGGAAAUUUGUCCCUGUGUUGGAAACAAACCAUCCACGUCAGCCCAUGAAGGCACUGAGAAGUCCCGCAAGAAAGAACCCUACUCAGUUGUGCUUAAUCCAGCCUUGCCCACAAUUUACUGAGCCAUGAACUCCACUUUUUCCAUGAAAUAUAUAUUAGCAUCUGUGGCACAUUAAACAUGGCCACAGAUUCUUUGGCACUCCCGUCAUCGAGAGGCGGGGUCUAUUCUCCCUUCCCUUCAGCCUGGGUGGGCCACGCGACCGCUUUGACCAGUGAGGACGGCAGAAGCGACACUGGAACAGUUCCAGAACUGGCCUGGCAGCUUCACCUCUUGCCUCUUGGAGCCUUGAGUCUUGACACAAGAAAUCCAGUCUAGGUUGCUGGAAAGGGCAUAGGAUGCAGCAGCAAGAUGAGGCCAUCCUGGGCACCCAGCCCAGCGGAGCCUUCAGAUGACCCCGGCCUCAGCUGCUAUCUGCCUACAACUGCAUGAGAGACUCCAAGCAAGAACCUGCCCAGCUAAGCCCCAUCAACUCCGGCAUCACCAGGAAGACUAAUAAACUAAAGCUUGAAACCACUGCACUGGGGGUUUAUCACACAGCAGUGGAUAACUGGAACAGCGCCCUACAGACCCCCUCAGAUGCGAUCAGCCAGGGAAUGUGAACUGGGCACCCAUAACGUGCCAGGCAGAGAUGCAAGCUGUCCUGCCAACCACAGACGGCCAUGGGGAAACCCCAAACCUGCAUUCGCGGAAAGAUGUGGGGAUGCUAUCAACUACCCCGGCCUGCAAGUACAGCAGUGUGUGAGAGCCUGACACGUGGCCCAAAUCCCAGCCGCUCCUCUCACUAGCUGGGGGAUCUUGGGUGUGCUACUGCUCCAAGCCUCACCUUCCCCAUCUGUAAACUGGGGGAAUAAGAACCCUUCCACCAGGGAUGAGCUCCAUUUUGGAGAGCGGGGGACCAUGUUGGGCAUCUAGACCAACGCCCCUCCUUCAAGAUCUGACAGCCCCUCCCACCACCUCUCCGCCCUUUCUUCCUGUCAGUUCCUAGGUGGGUUCCGGUUCUAAACCCACUUGGGGUGUCCUGGGGCUCAAGGAGAAUAGAGUCUACAACCUUCGGGGAGGAUCAUAGGGUCCUAGAGAAAUCCUUCCUGCAGAGGAAAGGUGGCUGGCAUGGGCAGGGCAGGCCUCGGGCUAGGGUCCCACAGGCCUCAGACACCAAUGCCAGUCCGUGUGGGAGCCAUGGGAUUCUCUCUCCCAGGGUUUGUGGGGAUGAGUUUGUGUGUUUGUUUCACAGAGAGGGGUGUGUGUGUGUGUGUG